rnacentral:rRNA from 1 species
GAUGAACGCUAGCGACAGGCUUAACACAUGCAAGUCGAGGGGCAGCACAGGGUAGCAAUACUUGGGUGGCGACCGGCGCACGGGUGAGUAACGCGUAUGCAACCUGCCGUCUACUCUUGGACAGCCUUCUGAAAGGAAGAUUAAUACAAGAUGGCAUCAUGAGUCCGCAUGUUCACAUGAUUAAAGGUAUUCCGGUAGACGAUGGGGAUGCGUUCCAUUAGAUAGUAGGCGGGGUAACGGCCCACCUAGUCUUCGAUGGAUAGGGGUUCUGAGAGGAAGGUCCCCCACAUUGGAACUGAGACACGGUCCAAACUCCUACGGGAGGCAGCAGUGAGGAAUAUUGGUCAAUGGGCGAGAGCCUGAACCAGCCAAGUAGCGUGAAGGAUGAAGGUCCUACGGAUUGUAAACUUCUUUUAUAAGGGAAUAAAACCUCCACGUGUGGGAGCUUGUAUGUACCUUAUGAAUAAGCAUCGGCUAACUCCGUGCCAGCAG